rnacentral:lncRNA from 1 species
CCGUAGUUCAAGUGCAAGGAAAAGUUUUUGUUUUGAUUCCUAACAAAAUAGAAGCACUGUUUUUUUCAUCACUGUAUUCAUCAGUGGAGAAAGCUCUGUCUGGCUGGGGGAGAGCAGACUUUGAAUAAUACCUCUGCAUUGUCUGCAGGGGGUGAGUAGAGCUAUCUUUUGCAUUCAGGGGCUCAAAGGAGGGGUGGUCCUGGGGAGGAAAUCAUAAAUUCUUCCCGGAUGACAGAAAUGGAAACUCACAGCCCUGCAAACAAAAAGGCAGCAGAAGUAGGUGGCAUGCUUCCUGAAAGGCUGUCAAAACACUACUUCAAAGCCAAACUAGGGGCAUACAGACAGCAGUUCUCCUGUCUCUUUAACUAAAAGCGGCAAGGACAAUCACCUGCCAGAUAGUCCUUCUGAGUCCUCCACCAAAGGAAGGUGCUUUGUUUCAGCAGGAUAGAGGAAUUUGAUUCUAUGAUCUUCCCUCUUCAUUCAUUGAAAGAUUGCUCACUCUGGAAGUUAGUUGCUGUGUCUCAAGGACACUUAAGCAUCCUGUGGCAGUAUCCAUGUGGCAAGAGGCUAAGCCUUAUGAGUGAACCAUCUUGGAAUAAGGUUCUACACAUCCAGUCAAGUCUUUGGAUGGUUGCAGCCCCUGCCAACCUCUAGCCACAGGAGAGACCCUCAGUUAGAACCACUCACCGAAGCUGCUCCUGAAUUCCUGACCCACAGAUAAUAAAUGUUUGCCCUAUAAGCCACUA